rnacentral:rRNA from 1 species
UACGAAGGGGGCUAGCGUUGUUCGGAAUCACUGGGCGUAAAGCGCACGUAGGCGGAUCUUUAAGUCAGGGGUGAAAUCCCGAGGCUCAACCUCGGAACUGCCUUUGAUACUGGGGAUCUCGAGUCCGGGAGAGGUGAGUGGAACUGCGAGUGUAGAGGUGAAAUUCGUAGAUAUUCGGAGGAACACCAGUGGCGAAGGCGGCUCACUGGUCCAUUACUGACGCUGAGGCGCGAAAGCGUGGGGAGCGAACAGG